GAUGAACGCUGGCGGCGUGCCUAAUACAUGCAAGUCGAACGAAACUUCUUUAUCACCGAGUGCUUGCACUCACCGAUAAAGAGUUGAGUGGCGAACGGGUGAGUAACACGUGGGCAACCUGCCCAAAAGAGGGGGAUAACACUUGGAAACAGGUGCUAAUACCGCAUAACCAUAGUUACCGCAUGGUAACUAUGUAAAAGGUGGCUAUACUACCGCUUUUGGAUGGGCCCGCGGCGCAUUAGCUAGUUGGUAGGGUAAAGGCGUACCAAGGCAAUGAUGCGUAGCCGAAUUGAGAGGUUGAUCGGCCACAUUGGGACUGGGACACGGCCCAAACUCCUACGGGAGGCAACAGUAGGGAAUCUUCCACAAAGGGCGAAAGCCUGAUGGAGCAACGCCGCGUGGGUGAAGAAGGUCUUCGGAUCGUAAAACCCUGUUGUUAGAGAAGAAAGUGCGUGAGAGUAACUGUUCACGUUUCGACGGUAUCUAACCAGAAAGCCACGGCUAACUACGUG
rnacentral:rRNA from 1 species